AUAUUUGCCGUUGUGAUGCAGGCGUGUGUGUGUGGAGUCUGUGUGUGCUGGACAGAGCAGUGUGCCCCCUAAGGACCUCGGGGUCCCAGAGCUGUUGACAGGCUGCCUCACUGGACAUACAGAACCAGUAGGUGACGUCGCUCAACACAAAGCCUCCAAACGGCCCUGCCACGCCCCCUGCCACGCCCUGUGAGUGUAUCCGGGUCUCCUCGCAGUGGCUGUUUGAACGUAGCCCACCUUUUCUGAUGAUUAAGGUUCUCCGGCCCUUCACGGGGAUUAUGUCGUGAACCCUCUCACAGCAGCUAUGAGAGACUGCGGCGCUCCCCAGAUGAGGAAACCUGGUCCCCCAGCGCCAGCUCUGGGACAAACCAGCUUCUAUGUCAUGAGUACACUCAGGCAGCUCACUGGAGAGAUCUGCAUGGUAAAGCAAUGAGCCUCCUGCCAGUAGCCAUGUGGGGGGCAUCUUGGAGCCAGACCCUCCAGCCCCAGUCAAGCCUUCAGAUGCCUGCAGCCCUGACUGACAUUUCAACCACAAUUUUAUGAGAGAUUCUGAGCCAGAAUCACCCAGCUAAGCUGCUCCCAGGUUGCUGGGU
rnacentral:lncRNA from 1 species